AACGCGAAGAACCUUACCUGGGCUCGAACGGCUGGUUAACGCCGGUGGAAACAUCGGUACUCCGCAAGGAGGUCCAGUCGAGGUGCUGCAUGGCUGUCGUCAGCUCGUGUCGUGAGAUGUUGGGUUAAGUCCCGCAACGAGCGCAACCCUUGUCCUGUGUUGCCAUCAUUCAGUUGGGAACUCGCAGGAGACCGCCAGGGAUAACCUGGAGGAAGGUGGGGAUGACGUCAAGUCCUCAUGGCCUUUAUGUCCAGGGCUACACACGUGCUACAAUGGCCGGUACAAAGCGCCGCAAACCCGCGAGGGGGAGCCAAUCGCAAAAAACCGGUCUCAGUUCGGAUUGCAGGCUGCAACCCGCCUGCAUGAAGCUGGAAUCGCUAGUAAUGGCAGAUCAGCACGCUGCCGUGAAUACGUUCCCGGGCCUUGUA
rnacentral:rRNA from 1 species